UCCUUGGCUAGCUCCCCUUGCCCGAUCACAAGUAGAAAACCUUCAACCCCCUCUGACAAAUCAGUCCAGAUCUGCCCAAGAGGCAGGAUUUUCUGGAAUAUUAUUAGCAGUGAAAUUGUUGCAUAUUUUCAAGCAUGCAUUGUAACCUGAUUUUAAAGCCUGUUUGAACAUCAGUCAUUGUGGCAAUGGCAUAUGAAUACAAGGUCCAGCCAUAUGAAUACAAUCUUAAAAUAUCAUAAAAACAAUGCAAUUUAAGGCCAGACAACCCAACUCCUGCGAACAGCCCUUUAUUACACAUUCGAAGCAUCUCUUGAGGCAUCAAAGUACUGUACAUGCAGGCACAUGGAAUUACAUAUGAGUACGGUAUGUGACAUAAACCCACCAUUGCACAACUUUGUCUGCAACAAUGCAAAUACAACAAAUGCAAAUACAAUCAAGCUGGAAACGGAUUUUAUCAGUAUUUUGAUAUAUACAUUAUGGCUCAUGUCUAAAGACACCUGCACUUUCAUAUUGAAAUUGUUCUAAUAUCAUCCAAACAAAACACAUCAGAAAACU